CCUGCCGGAGAGAAACGGCGCUCAGGGAGCAGGCUGGCUCCAGCGCCACAGCUGGCCCAAACGAGCAAGGGCUGCUGGCUGCAGGGCGGGAAUCGGCAUUUACUGCGCUCCGGUCCCUGACUCGCGCUGUUCCCUUCACCUUUCUGCUCCCUCCUGGCUGCACAGGGACAGACGUGUCCCUAUGGGGACACUGCAGCUGGGGAGGGGACAGCAGCUCCCCCUCAGCCCCCAGGAGCACGGAUGGAACAUGGAGAAGAGACACGUUUUCCUGGCUGGCCCAUGACACAAGAUCGGGCUGGGACCUGGGAGCAAACGCAGCACAGGGCAGCGUGGAAGAGGCUCACCUUGCAUGGAGAGGAAGCACAGACCAGAGCCUGCCCAGACAUGGCGAGAAGCCGCCUCGUGCUCCAGGCAAGUGACUGAUCCCCGUGGCACAUGUGAGCUCUGGCUGGGGGCCGUGUGUGGGCAGGGGACGGGGAACACGCGGCUCCCACCGAACACAGGCCAGGUGAGUCGCUCCUCAGCACGGCCUAUUCUUAGUCCUGGCCCACCUCUGUUCUCCCCCAGCACUGCUCUUCUUGUCUGGGCUGUCUUACAAAGAAGCGCCUCCUCCUCUCCCACGCAUCCUCUCCCCUCUCCCUUCCUGACACCGGUGCUCCCAGCACAGACACAGCGCGGUGUCUCCACAGCAGAGGCAGCGCGGGAAGGGACGUGUCCCACCGCCGGCUGGAGAGGACAGUGACCACGCACAGGAGAGCGCUGGGCACGGUGGGUCAUGGUCCCGCACCUGCCUGCGUUCGAGCUGGUUCCAAAAACCCUCCAGCGUGGCCAAUGGCUUCGGCGAAGGAGCCUCACGGCUCCAGGGCAGCAGCUUUUUUCCAGUGAUUAACUUUCGCUGCAGCUGCUGAUAGGGAAGAACUCGAUUUUCCGCUCUAGAUUUUGCUCCCAAAAGAAGCAUUUUCUGUGCGUGACUGGUAAUGCCAGCUCCUGCUUGCUUGCUUUGGGGAAAUGACCCAAAAUGGGCUCCAAACACAAGCAACGACCCCUCUAACUUUUCACCUUUUGCAGUUAAGUGCUGGGCACUCCAGUAAACGUGGUGCUUUCUUAGGACCCGGUUUAAAUAAUUUCUGAGGCCUCAAAAACCAGGAAACCCUCAAACUAAGCAGUCCUGGCUUCCCCUUUACCUGCUGGCUGGCACGGGAGCUUUAUCUGCAACCCUGACAGCAAGCAUAUUCGGUCAUUAAAAAAAAAAAGGCUGACAAGGAAGGUUCUUGCCAGUAAAUUCCUUCAGAGUGCUGGAGACCAUCAGAAGUGCAAUUAAACCGCAGCUCUUGGCAACAUGACGAGCGAGCUGGGAGCAAUCCCGCGGUUCCCGUUCCCCUCCCGUUCCGGGUGACUCCAGCACCAGCGCUCACCUCUGCGGUUGGACCUCACCAGCGACAGGAUCACCGCCUCCUUCUCCCGGCCCUGGAAACCGUCCACCGACUUGAUUUCUAGUUCUGGGUACCUGUGGCAAAGCUGCUCCCUUAGCAUGUCCACCUGAAACACACGCAAUCGACAUCUUUGAAAGAAAAGUGCAAAGUGAAAAGGAAUGAAAGGCACUGUUCUGGUGAAGCCUCUUCCUCUCAGACCCACAAGGACGAGUGCUCACAUCUCCCGAAGGUCAAGCACUGGGAGUGGAAGACACCCAUUUAACAUCUCCUUCCCCACGGCCUCAGGCUGCUUCAACGUGGUCACGCUGGCCACAAAUGACGAUACGUUUGGGCUCUGCUGCCUCCCCCUGUGUCUCCGAAGGAUGUUCUGGGAUCGCUGCUGGAGACGUCGAGGUCUGAACCCACCCUGCGCGUCUGCCCUGUGUGUGUGCGGCACGAGAGAGGAGCUGCGGCGGGGCUGUCUCACCUGAAGGUUGUAGGGGGCCACAACAGCGAUGUCCUGCGCCCUCACGCCAGCCCCCACCAGCGCCUGGACGUGCAGAGCCACCAGCUGCACCUCCCCUGCGGCAGAGAGAGAGGGGCCGGGAUGGGGACGUCCCAUAUUAGUCCAAGCGAUUAAUGACAAUCCAGACAACAGCUUAUUUUUCCUCUGAAGUGAGACUCUAGACCUCACUAAAACUUCAGUUCUCUAUGCUGCAACUGGAGAAACUCCACCUUUUCUCUUCAUUCCAAGUUCCACAUUUCUAAGCCCCCACGAGCAAAUAAUCAAGCUCCAUGCUCGGAUCUGUGUGCUCAGACCCUCCAGAGCCCGCGCGUCGCCUGCACUAACAGCCGGAUAUUUGGGACAGUCACUGGUUCAGAGAACUCUAAUCAGGACAAGUUAAAUACAAAUGUGAACUAUUCCACCAGUUUAUCGGCUGGACUGACUUUACCCUCCGUUCUGCAGCAAAGCACAGGUGUACAGACCCAGGCUCUGCACUGUGCUGCUCCACAAGGCUGUGCCCCACAUUCCAGGAUUAAUUCCCCGCUCUCCCCUUCCUGUCCUCACUGGUGCAGAGCCCAGCCCGCGGGAGCCCGAGCACCUCAGACAAUCCAUUCCAGCCAACAAAAUUGUCCAAAGGACGGUACCUGGGUUCCCCUUGGACUGUUCAUCUUCUUCUUCCAGCUCCAACAGCCCACAGCCAGCGGUGUCUAUGAGCAACAGGGGAAUUGCGGUCUCUUCGGUACAGGUGACACCCGGCAGGUCCCUGCACAAGAGAUUUAGGAAAGGACCAGUGAACAACACUGACAUUACAGCAAAGGGAUGGGGAAAGGGCCUGUGGACAACACUGACAUUACAGCACAGGGCUGAUGAGCUGCGGUGUUGCUCACUCCUCCUGGCCAGACCACAAGGACAGAGGGAGAACAGAGCUGAUGUUGGUGCCGAGGCCGCAGCCCAGCAGCGGUGCCGUGCGGGUGGCAGCACAGCAGGACGGGCUCUGGGGGUGGAGAAGAGUGACAGAAACUGAGAGCUGAGGUUCCCCACACUCUUCAGCCAGAGCUGAGAACCCGUUAUUGCUCUGCACCGCGGGACUGACAGUUAAACGCUCUCCCAAAACGCAAACGAAGAGCCAAAGGCCCCGGGGCGUGUCCUGGGGCAGCAGCGCUGGGAGGCCGGGCACGGUGUGGGUGUCCGUGUCCCGCUGGAACGGCCUCCAACAGGAACGAUCUGCUGGCCCAGCGAGAUGUGGCAGCUGCGUUCUGGUUUUUACGGUGUUGAGAGGGAGGAGGAGCACGUGAGGUGUUCCCGGAGACGUGACGGCAGCGCUGCUGGGCAAGAGAAGAAAGCGCAGUGCGAGGAACCACAGAGGAAUUGGGGUUUCGCAUAAUUUCUACAGCUAAAGUUGCUGCAUUAAAAAAAAAAAAAAAGCUGUAUUUUAAUACAUCCACCUCUAAAGCUGCUCAAAAAAUAUUAGUAAACUAGAGCUGAAUCCCCAAGGAAGUUGUCAGGUGAGCUGAGAGCCUGGGGCGGUGGAGGGCAGAACGGAACGCCUGGAGACGGCAGGAGAGCUCUGACACGUGUUGCUGCACAUGGGUACCAGCCACAGCGAGCUGCGACUCGGGUGGUCUGCAAGCAAACGGGCAGCUGGCAAGCCAUGGGAAGGAGGCUCAUCUCACCACACCGCACCUCACCGCACUGCACCGCACCGCACCGCACCUCACCGGACAGGACAGGCCAGGCCAGGCCAGGCGGGGAGCGAGGGGAGAGGCGGCUUCCAGCUCAGGCCCAGCCCAGCCGCAGCCGCUCCCUCCCUCGAGAACCCACCACUCUCACCAUUAAAUGACACACGUGCGCACAAACGUGUAUAUAAAUGAGGCAGGAGUCGGCCCAGCCUCCCUGUGCUCGCGGAGCCGCAGGCUCCAUGCCCAGCCUGCUGACACAAGCAGAGCCGCGCUGGCUGCAGCGGGUGAGAGGAGGGAGCACCUAGUGCAGCUCACGAGUGGGAUUAGCCUGAAACAAGUACAGUAAAAUGGCCUCUCUGGCUAUCUCUGUCAAACCUGCUAUGAAACUGAGAGAUUCCAGGGGAAUAUCAGUUUGUCCAACUUCUAGGUAUUAGUAUUACAAAAAGAAGCAUUGCUAAGAAGGCGAGAGCAGCACGCAGACAAGCACUGCGGUAUUCGUGGGUCUGCGAGUCCAACAGAGAGAAUUAAUGUUUUCCCAUCCACCUCCCAGAACUGCGCUGAGUGCAGUUUUAAAAAGCGCCCACUGGUGCCAGCCACAGCGCGUGCUGGCAAACAGCUGUCUGUGCCGGGCUGCGACGGAGACGAAACGCCAGUCGCUUCCUUUGGGUUACCAACGGAAAGGGAAACCACCGCAGGCAAGGGUUCCAGCGCCACCCGACCUGCCUCGGGCUGCAAAGGGAACUUUGCUUUCUGACCUCUCUGAUGUCAAUGCUGGGACGAACGACGGGACACACUGACCCAAGGACCAUGGGCACAUGUGGGAACACAAAACCUGGUGUCUGGUCCUGCCCUCGGUGAGGGCUUGAGACAGAACAGAGGUUUGCCCGCUGCAGGCUGGGCCUUCCUGGAUGCAAGGGGAUCAGAGUUUUUGCUUAUCACACCAAAGAAGGAAACAGAAGAGAACUCUGCCUUAGCGAUACAUGGGAGAAAGGACAAGACCCCCAGUUAAUGUUUCCUCGAUGAAAUAAGGGCUGGAACAGAACUGCUCUGGCAGGGCCGGGAGGAAUGGCAAACCCCACCGCGGGGAAGGACAAACCCGCGCAUGGCGGGACGCGGGGACAGCUCAGACACCGAGGAGGAGCCGCUCCCUUACCUGAGCAGGUGCUGUGCCACCGAGGGGUGCGCGCUGAGCUGCCCGCCGUACAUCUCGCAGGAGGCCCAGCGCAUGAUGUCCUGGUGCAUGCGGUACUGCACCCGCAGCAUGCGCACGGCGCGCGGCCCGUACCGCUCCGCCAGCCGCUCCAGCAGGCUGAGCGACAGCCCCGCCGCCGCCGCCCUGCGGGAAAAGCUGGUCAGGAGAGGGGCUGGCCGGCUGCUCCGAGGGGUGAGCCCUCUUUUGGGGGUCGACCAGCAUCCCCUCGCUGCAGCCGCAGCCCAGGGUCAGCCAGCCCGGCCUGCAGCACCCGAUGCUCCCACCCACAUCUGCUCAGUGAGGGUGCCAAGAUCUCUGCUUGGGGAAACAGCUCCCAACCCAAAACCCCUUAACCCGUAGCCUCAUCCCGUCACCACCCGUAGCCCCACUGCUCGUACCAGGCUCUGGACACGGCAGCUGGCACCGCCAGCUCGGCACUGGAAGCGCCUGGUGCGGGAGUUGAGAGCUCGGCCCCAGCGCCGGAGCGCUCGGUGUCAGCACGGCCAGACCUGGCUCGUGCUCCAGCCAGACGCCGCUCGAGCGCUCUCGUUCCUCCCUGGCCACCCAACCCAGCCAGAAGCACUAAUGCAUCUCAGCACUUAUUGCUUUAUCACCCAUUAAGAAAACCAACGCUCCGUCACUCCUGACAAAGGUCCUGUGCUUAUAGCUGUGACACAAAUUAAUAAAGCUCCUAAUGAAAUAAGCCUUUCAGGAGCCUAAUUGCUUUCUCUUCACCAUACAGAAAGGGUUCAUUAGAAGCAUUGCCUAAUGGCUCUGUCUGAGGAAGAAGAAUCACUGUACUUCGCUGUUGCAUUUUGAAGCACAAAAAGCUUUUUCAUACUGUGUGUCCAGUGCCUUGCACGAGACGGUGGUUCGCGGUAAGGGUUCCGAUUGCUACCAGCACACAGUGUACAAGCGCACCGACGGUGGAAUGACCGAGAACAGCUUGGGAAAACGACCUCGGUCGAGGGGCAGGGGCACAGCACGCACCCCAUCACCGCCGUGGGGAGCAUCGCGUGGCUACGCGGCACCGCGGCGAGCGGCUGGUUUGCUGUGCUGGCCGGCCCUGUCGCGGUGGCAACAGGGUGCUGGGUAAAUAUAACAAGAGACUGCAAAUGCAUUAAAACUGAUGGAGAGAAAAUGGA